rnacentral:miRNA from 1 species
UGAACAUUCUCUAAGAACACU